rnacentral:tRNA from 1 species
GAAGUUAUAGUCAAUCAUUGAUAUCUGACCUGCAAUCAGAAGGAGCCCAUCCAGGGCUAACUUUA